CCGCUCGCUGGCUCCGCUCCUUGGCGCAGUCAGGGUCUCUCCGGCUGUCCCUGGUUUCUGCUACGCAGGCAUCGCUGUGCCGGAGAGCAACGCACGCUGCCGCUGUGGCUGGUACCUUGAGCCUCUGGCGCUCUGCAGAGCUCUCCUCUUCACCUUCACCUGUCUCCUAGCAACCCAGCAUCCCUGCGGCAGGGUACCACUUUGAGCAUCCUUCUGCUGCCCCAGCUCCCGGCCCCUUCUCUUCCUCAGGAAGGAGGAAACGAGCCGCGCUGCUCCUGCCUGCCUAGGCAGCCCACUGCUGUCUGCUAGCGAAAGCACCUGCCUGUCCUGAUCCAAGAAAACCUCUCUGAAACUGCUUCAGCAGAUGAAGGUACAGAGAGAAGCUCAGGGAAAUGCCGGCAGCUGCAGCCAGGGGUAAACAACAGUGUCACUCAGCGAAGAUGGUGCCAGCAAACUGCUCGCUGUCCCAGGGCAGAUAACCUUGCCAGAAGGUUCAUGAUCAUAGCACCAAAGAGUCAGAGAGGUCAUGGAAAAAGAGCCUCAAAAGAUAACACAGCCCAGCACCCUGCUCAGAGGCAGGUUACAGCACAUCAUACGUGCCAUUCUUCUGUCUGUUAUCCUGGCUGGAAGACAGGCCACGGCCAUAAUAUAGUCCCAGUACGGAAAGAAAAGACCACGGGCAGUGGGAGACCUUUUGGGCCUGAUACUGCCACGCGUUGCUGGCGACACAGGAUAGGAGAAGUCUCCUGACCACAGUCUAGCGAGCUGCCACAAACUACAACAUCACAUGAGUCUCCGCUGAUCAAGAUCUCAGAAGCAGUUCACGCCUUGCCUUCUUCUUCUCAGAAGAAGUUCACGCUUCUCUGAAGAGACACUGGGCCAAGGACCUUGCAGUUUGGACUUUCUCCUAAGCCCUAGGGUAAUGUAGUCAUGUGCUCCAAUACCUGUCAAAAUGCCCUGAACAGUUACUGAUUUUCAGAAAGUGAAUUCAGCUAGCAAAGUCUCCAUGCAAGCAAAAUAUACUCAAGGAAGGAACGCAUUUCUUACCUAUUUGCUCCUUUCCCAUAGCCAGGCGGGUCUGUGGCUCAGCCGAGCCGUUUACGUAGCUCUACAAACCCGUGGGGUUGUUAUCUGGUCGCUGCACCUUUCUGAUCUGCAAACAGCCCGUCAUGCUGACUGAUCAGCCAUCGGUGAGACGUCAGCUGGAGUGGAAACCCAGCCGGGGAGCAGAGCGCCGCUGACUUGAAUCAUUUGUUGCUACAUCCUUGCUGCUUAGAUCUAGCCCACUAAAGUCCACAUUUAUUUGACUUGGGGCUACACUAGGCUCCUGAGCCCUGAAAUGCACGCUGUGUCUGGUGCAUGUCGGGUACCGUCUGCACGAGGCCUGCUGCCACAUGCAGCCCCAAGUGGCAUGGGGGAAAGAGCUACUACAAGCCAACCAAUUUCCCUUCUGCAUGUUUAUUACCCAGGUAGAACAUGCUUUUGCUGAGAAGCUGGGGAAUCUCCCGGUACAAAUCCGUAGUGCUCUCUAUUCUGAAUCUGCUCCUCUUACCAUGCCCGCAGGGAGCCCCAAUUUUAGGGCUGCCCAUUUGCCCUGUUCCUCUCUGAUACCCUACAGAAGCUGCCAUGACCUAUUAUACUGCAGGUGUCCGUGACCAUCAUGUCUCAAACGCAGCAUCCUUCAUCUCCAACCUCUUGCCAGUGGGAUCCACGAGGGCAGAUUUUCCCAGCUGCACAGGAAACCUGCAGGACCGAUUCCCUGCUGACCUCAACUCUUCUGCUCUCAGUGAGGUUGAACUUGACCUAGAAAAGUAGUUUCUGUUGUUGGGUUCGUGGGAGGAUGUUUUGUUUGUCAUGUCUGUG